rnacentral:lncRNA from 1 species
GUCAGCACAGAAAAAGAAUAGUUUGCAUUUGGGGUUUUAUUUUUUGCAUACAGAGCAGCAAAUUAAAAAGCAAUUGGCAAGUAAUGUGACUGACAAACUUUCUGAGCUGCAUUUAGUAUUUUAAUGAGCCUUCUUAACUCUGAGUGAGAGAGAAAGCGAAGAUAUGUUUUCCCUAGACCUUUAAAGAAAACAAGGAGCCAUUCCAAUGGAAAGUACCAAUCUAGGAAUCAUUCCCUGAUGAACACUUAAGAAGUCUUUUUUUGCAUUGACAACAUGGAAAUUGUCUGGGGCUGCCGUGAUUUGAGGUCAGAAGAGCUGAUUUUGGGAAGUUCCCACUCGACUCUUGGCUGAAAUAUGGUAACCAGAUGAUGUCUGCACCUUGGAUCUCCAUAACCAAAGGAACGAGGCGAUGAGGAUCGGCAGAUCCCACUGGGACCUCCAGACACAGUCAGCAUGUUUGGUUGGAACAGCACAUCCAGAGGUGACAACAUCAGUUCAUGAAAAAGAUGAGUAACUUUAAUAGAAAAAGGCCACCAAGCUGGCAGAGAAGAACUGGCAGCACAACCUGACCUUGUGGAGUGGAAACAGAUGAUGCUGGUGGGACAAUAGGAAUCACCGCACCGUUUCUUGCGUGUGUUGCAUUGCCUGCAGUGGAGUUUCUUCGCUAACACACUAGAUGCAGAGCUAAGAGAAGAAGUGAAGGAGUUGCUGGGGCUAUUUGGAUUUUCAGUGGGAUACAUGUACAGUGGAAGCAUGAACCGUCACACCAGGUCUUUGGCAGUUGAGGAACAUGUCUACAAAAACCAGGCCUUCUCUGAAAUUUUGCAGGCUUGACAGUAAGAAAAUGCCCAUGCUAUUUGUGCAGCUGCUGCUA